CCUACGGGUGGCAGCAGUGAGGAAUAUUGGUCAAUGGGCGGAAGCCUGAACCAGCCAAGUAGCGUGCAGGAUGACGGCCCUACGGGUUGUAAACUGCUUUUAUACGGGAAUAACGCGCCUUACGUGUAGGCCUUGCAAGUUACGUAUGGAUAAGGACCGGGCAAAUUCCGUGCAGGCAGCCGCGUUAAUACGGAAGGUCCGGGGGUUAUCCGGAUUUAUUGGGUUAAAAGGGGGCGUAGGCCGCAUGUCAAGCGUGCUGUGAAAUGUCCGGGCUCAACCCGGGCCUUGCAGCGCGAACUGGCGUGCUUGAGUCCGCGGAAAGCAGGCGGAAUUCGUCGUGUAGCGGUGAAAUGCUUAGAUAUGACGAAGAACCCCGAUUGCGAAGGCAGCUUGCUGCAGCGGAACUGACGCUGAUGCUCGAAAGCGCGGGUAUCGAACAGGAUUAGAUACCCUGGUAGUC
rnacentral:rRNA from 1 species